rnacentral:rRNA from 1 species
UACAGAGGGUGCGAGCGUUAAUCGGAAUUACUGGGCGUAAAGCGCACGUAGGUGGUUUUGUAAGUCGGGUGUGAAAGCCCCGGGCUCAACCUGGGAACUGCAUUCGAGACUGCAUUACUCGAGUAUGGGAGAGGGCAGCGGAAUUUCCGGUGUAGCGGUGAAAUGCGUAGAUAUCGGAAGGAACAUCAGUGGCGAAAGCGGCUGCCUGGCCCAAUACUGACACUCAAGUGCGAAAGCGUGGGGAGCAAACAGGAUUAGAAACCCUAGUAGUCC